AUUGAACGCUGGCGGCAUGCUUUACACAUGCAAGUCGAACGGCAGCGCGGGCUUCGGCCUGGCGGCGAGUGGCGAACGGGUGAGUAAUACAUCGGAACGUGCCCAGUAGUGGGGGAUAGCUCGGCGAAAGCCGGAUUAAUACCGCAUACGACCUGAGGGUGAAAGCGGGGGAUCUUCGGACCUCGCGCUAUUGGAGCGGCCGAUGGCAGAUUAGCUAGUUGGUGGGGUAAAGGCCUACCAAGGCGACGAUCUGUAGCUGGUCUGAGAGGACGACCAGCCACACUGGGACUGAGACACGGCCCAGACUCCUACGGGAGGCAGCAGUGGGGAAUUUUGGACAAUGGGCGAAAGCCUGAUCCAGCAAUGCCGCGUGUGUGAUGAAGGCCUUCGGGUUGUAAAGCACUUUUGGCGGGAACGAAAAGGACUGUGCCAAUACCACGGUUCGAUGACGGUACCCGCAGAAUAAGCACCGGCCAACUACGUG
rnacentral:rRNA from 1 species